rnacentral:rRNA from 1 species
UACGAAGGGGGCUAGCGUUGCUCGGAAUGACUGGGCGUAAAGGGCGCGUAGGCGGAUGGCACAGUCAGAUGUGAAAUUCCUGGGCUUAACCUGGGGACUGCAUUUGAGACGUGUGAUCUGGAGUGAGGAAGAGGGUUGUGGAAUUCCCAGUGUAGAGGUGAAAUUCGUAGAUAUUGGGAAGAACACCGGUGGCGAAGGCGGCGACCUGGUCCUUAACUGACGCUGAGGCGCGAAAGCGUGGGGAGCAAACAGG